CGUUUUCUGAAUAAGUGUUCAGUUUCAACAAGUUUUUCUGUACAAGCUUCCUUGCCGGAGAAUAGCGAUAGAUUUAAAGUGGAAUACACUCCAUGGAUGAUUGUUGGAUUGGGUAACCCUGGAAAUAAGUACCAUGGAACUAGGCACAAUGUUGGUUUUGAAAUGAUAGAUAGUAUUUCCAAAAUGCAGGGCAUUGUGAUGAAUACAAUUCAGUCAAAGGCACUGGUUGGAAUAGUACAGGUUCCAUUGGAGAGGUACCAAUUUUGGUGGUGAAGCCUCAAGCUUACAUGAAUUAUAGUGGGGAAGCGAGUUUCUUUUGAGUUUCAGCAUAAUGUUUGUGGUAGAUCAAUAUAUGCAGAGGGUACAGUUGAUGCUGUAAUUUUCCUUGCUAAGAAGA